rnacentral:lncRNA from 1 species
UUUGUAAACCUCUUGGAAGGAAAAGGAGAGUUUAAGACUGGAAGGAAAUGCUGUGACAGUUACCUGAAUAAAAAAUCCGAGGCUCUCAUCUAGUGUUUUCUACAUCAGACAGUUUGUGGCUGUUAACCUGCUGGGUUUUCUUUCUGUGAUGCUUGUGCUAAGGGGCUUUGGGGUCCUCUUUUUCUGUAACAGCCUCCAAAGUCAACACAUUUAGGCAAAAUGGAGGCCAUGAGCUCAUUCCUCUGUCUUGAUAUAAAGACUGCAAAUGAUGACAUAGCCACCCAAAACGUGUCUGUUGCUCCAAGUCAAUUAUUUCCUCAACUGAAAAUUUUACCUUCUAAUCUGGAUUUGUAUGUUCCUAUUUCAUAUAUGAUGUGUUGGUAUGAAGAAUUUGUGGCUUCCUUUAAUUCUUGCAAAUCCUCAGUGCAUUUGAGAAAUAAACUGAUGUUCACUCUGAAGUCUGAAAAAUGCUGGUAUUUAAAUACAAUGGGUCAAAGUAUCUCCUCCUCAUUUAUGGACUUCCCUGAAUUUCCUGCUAUGAUUAAUAAGAAGAUGUAGACAAUAACUUUUUUUUUUUUAAAAAAAAGCAAUGUAAGAAAUUUCACUUUGUGCUAUUUGUCUUUUAUAUAUGACAUACUCCAAUAGUUUAGUGCUCUGUAAAGUUUUCUGAAACUUUUAAUGACAGCAGUGUCAAUACCACUCAGGAAAAAUACUGGCAGUGCUGGUAAACAAAUAUUUAAGGGAACUUGAUAAAUGCAGUCACUGCUAUAUAAAACUCAUUUCUUCCUUCAGCAAGUUUCUUCUCUUAACUGCCUGUCCUCUUCUGUUAUUUUGCUUGUCUUCCAGACAUCAAUGUUGAGGCCAAGAUGUCCACCGUCUCCCCAGACUGACAGCAGCCUUAACAGAAACUCCUGCAGGGCAGUGGGUGGAAGCAUGGAGAAGUCAGACAAUAAAAAAGACUUUUGGGCAAGGUCAGUGAAUUUGAAGAACGAACCAGGGCAAUGCCAGGAGUUUGCAGUGCUCAUCUGCUGGGGACUGGUGGAAGAGAUUUUGAAUGUAGGUGAUGUCACCUCACAUAUGGUAAGUAUUUUAGAAAAAAUGGAAUAGAGCAUAACAGAAUCCUUGUUUUAUUUGGGUGGAAGUCUUUGAUUUUUUUUCUUAGCCAUCAAACUGAAAAACAGCUGCUCAAUUAGCUCUCACCAGAAUAUAACUCCCCACCUUUUUGCCAGGUGUGCUGCUAAACAGGCAGUGUCUGCAGAGCAUUUGUUGUUGCUGCGUAUCAUCACUACAGAAGAACUCACGUGAGUGGGAAGAAAUGCAAUUGUGUGUUCAGCAGUGGUGGUGUUGGGGCAUCUUGGGUUAAAAGCCCAAGGUUAAGCAUGGUGACUGCCAAAAACAUGCACUUUUUGUUAGGAAUGCUUGAAAUAAUUAAAAGUCCGAUUUUUCAGUGGUGCACUGUGGAUACUGUGCAUAGACUCAGUGAAAUUUGUCAAAUUUCAGGUAACGUUUAUAAAGCUUCAAAGGGCCAGGACAUUCUUUGAAACUACUCAUGUGAGGAGUCCUUCCACAUAGCCACGAAAAAUGAGAAUUCCCACAAUCUCUUCCUUGCAGGAACCUGCUCUAGUCUGAAUACUGACCUGCUCUUGAAACAUAUGAAAGAUAUUUUUUUUAUUUUUUUUUUAGUAAAUGCAGACAUAAUAUUUGUGUUAUUUUACCAUCUUCUGCAUCUCUAAAAGCUUUUUUAAAAAUAUUUUUUAAAUAAUUUUUUAAAAUUAUUAUUUUUUAAUUAUUUUAUUAUGAUAAAAGACUUUAUCAUAAUACUGUUUCUGGAUUUGGCCCCUACGUGAAAUCAAAAGCAGAGAAAUUCCUUUAGAGUGUGGAUGAAAUCUCAGACCAUGGGUGUGGAAGUAUAACCUUAGCUAUGACUGUGAUGUUAAAUAUCCACUGAUAAAGUAUUUGUGUAGCUGUGGAUCAUCAAGCAAGAUGUGCAAGUGGCAGACUGAACUGUUCCCAACAAACUGUGGCUGUCUGCCCAGCCAAUAUAUAUUGUCAUGACAAUUAUUUGCAAAAUAACUGCAGCUAGUUUCUGUAUAACUCCUGUGAGUUUCCUUGUUAUCAGCCACAUAUGCUUGAUGCCUAACAUUUGAAUCUUUAAAAGGUUUGAAGCUUUUAUUUUCUAUAGCUAUCACAGGUUGACAAGAGUCACUGUGGCAGCAACAGGAAAGUGUUUGGGAUCAGUCUAAGGAGAGGGAGAAAAGCUGGAGGAAGGGCAUGGUGAAACUGGGGCAUUUGUGGCACUUUCUAGGAGUAGGGGCUCAUGUCACUUUUCUGGUUGCUUUGUGAGGGCUGUUAAAUUGUAAUGCCAAAGCCUUUUCCAUCAGUGGCCUAAAAGUAAUGCGUAUUUGAGUAUUACAGAUUAUUUAGACAGUAGCUUCAUAGUUUGUGGCUGCUCAGGCAUCAGCCGCAAGGAAAAUCCGCGGUUAUGCUCACCCAGCUGGAUAGAUAGCUUGUGACUAAAGUGUCUGAUCAACAAGGCUUAUGUUUGAGAUCUAGCAUUUGGGCUGCUUUCAAAGUAGCUGCAAGAAUUAAGCAGGAAAUAUUUCUAAUGAGAAACUGCAAUUGGUUUCUUGCUCCCUUUCAAACUGAAAAAGACACAAAAUCAAUCAAAACUCAGGGUAAAUUAUUCACCUGACUUUAGCAAAGAAACAAACUGGCAAUAAAAGGCCCUUCAUUGUGAGAGGCAGCAGAGCCCAUACAGCAAAUGGGGCUUUAGAAAGUGCUGCUGAGCAGCCUCCUCCAGUUUGUGUCUCUGCCCUAGCCAUUCUCCUGCUAGGCAUUUGCAAUUUUCCAGGUUGUGCACAAAUAAAACACUGCAUUCAAUGUGGGGAAAAGACAUAGGCAAGCAACACCAACAUGUCACACCCAGUUUUAAAGUCCAAGGUACCAUUUUGCAUUAAGAGAAUAACAAAUCUUUCAGGUGAACAAAUAUUCAAGUCCUGGAGCAGUACACUGAGGCAGAGGUUUAAUGAACUCUUUAGGGGUGGUUUUUCAGCUUGUGUAAAUUGGCUCAGAAAAAAAAAAAAAAAAAAAAAAAAAAGAAUCUCCACAUGAAUAAACAAACAAAAAAAAAAAAAAAAAAAAAAAAAAAAAAAGCCAGCAAAAAAGUUGCCCUGUCUUUAUAUAACUACACAGUAAUGAUCUCUCCCUGUUCUGCUGGGGAGCUUUUAUCCUCAAACGCUGUGUUCCAUGUGGAUUAUCUUGAUGUUUUUUUUUUCCCCAUUUAACACAGGAGAUAAAGACUCUGGCCUCUGUAUUUAACUGUAGCAUUUUCUAUCAGAAAAUAAGGCAAUACUUUCUAAGGGUAGCUCAUGCAUUGAACUCAGCUGUCAAAGCUACUCAUGCUGCCUUGGGUAAUUGGCUACUCACAAAUCUUUAUCUAAAGUAUAAAGUAAAUAACUACCAAAAAGCCUAACCUAAACUGAAGCUGUAAAUUAUCCCACAAAUUCCUUUUACUGCUGUUUUGCUUGGAUUUACUCAACCUAUAAAUCAGAACUGAACAAGACUUGCACAGAAUGAUGGCCACAAGGAUCUUUAUGAGGUCUACAGCCAUAAAUUUUGAAGCUGAAGAGGCUGAACCAGGAACCAUCUGAGCUCUCCUUCCCGCACGGUUUGUAUGCUCGCUCGCUCACUCACUUCUGCCAGCUUCCUCGACAUUACUCAAAAUGUGUUCUGCCUCAUUGUUUAGAAACUUGUGUAAUGUUUUGGUUUUUGUAUUUAAAAUGGGUAGGAUGGUAGGAGAUUGAGGGGUGCCCAGCUUUCUCUGCAAUGAGCAGUUGUUAGAGCAACCACCCAAGCCACAGUGAGGCUGGAUUUGGCUUCCUCUGGAGCCCAUGUGGUUUGGACUGGCAUUUUCAGCUUCCUGGAGAGCUGCUGGAAAGUAGCGCUGUUAAAUAAAUCUGUGUUUCAUGGUUCAGGAAAAGCAAAGGAAGCAAUGGCUGAAAGAAGAGUUGUGGGGAUUUUACAAGAAAUAACACUUGGCUCAGGGACUGGAAGUCAGAAUGACGGAGGCCUUGCUGGACUGUGCCUGCUGUCUCCUACUGAACAUCUUCCAGGAUCGUGCUAUCCCCAAACUCAUAAACUAUGGGAAACAAAUGUUCAGGUUUUAAAUGUCAUAUAAAUUUGGCGUAGCUGAAUUAAUGGUUCCAGCUCUGAAAGCUGCUGUUUUACUUUACCACUCAGUAAGCUUGGUGCUCGCUUAUCAUGAAUCUGAUUAAAAUCCACAUCUCCGAGUACGACAAACCAAGUCAUAAAAUCCUGGGCCAAUGGGGAUUGCCUCUCAGAGUUAACUGUAGCUCCUAGGUGCUGUUUCAGCCUGCAAGACAGAAGAAAUUUUGAAAUAAAGAUGCGUUUAUCUGUCUUCCUGUCCUUGCUGCCACUGGUUAGAUGUGUUGGUCUGUUUGCCUGUGGAGCUGUGCUGCAGAGGUAGCAUCGGGGGCUAUGCUAUUUAUUUACUUCUGUGCCCUGUUCUCAAAUCCACAACAUUCCUGUAAAUGUGCGGCAUGGCUUUUGUCUGAAUAACAUGUAUUAAUUUCUUUAUCUGAAUACUGUAGAAAUGAACAAUACAACACUGCCAAGAUUUACUGCACAGAGCUCAACUGCUGGGUGGAGGAUAGCUGCAGGUAAGUCCGUGUCGGAAUAUUCCUGAAUUUUUGAAACACUGCCUUGUGCCUGUUUUCUCUGUUUGGAAAGUAGGUCAAGGAGUUUGUUUUCUGGCAUUUUCCCCCUCUGUACUUAUCUGUUACAUCUCUGCAGACUCUUCUUUAAAGUAUGCACCUAUUAACAGUUCUGGUCUUUUAUUCUUACAUUACACUAACAUUUGGAGAACAGCAUCCUGGGAUUAAGUCCUGAAUAUGGAUUUCAAUAAUAUUGCCUGAAGAUGAAUUUCAGAAAACUCAUAUUUUUCUGGACCUGGAGUGCCUUUUUCUUUACUACUGCUAUUCUGCAAAUGCCACUUUUUUACUUUGUCUUGUAGUUAAGCAAGACUUUGCCAUUUAUACUAUAUAUAUUAUACUAUAUUAUAUUAUACAUGUAUACUAUAUAUGUAUUACACUAUACAGCUUCUUAGACAAAUUCACCCACUUUAGGCAACAAACAUUUCAUAAUAUCCACAGAGAAGACAAAAUAACUUGACUUUACCAUUUAAACUAGGGUUGGAUUCUGCCUCCUGGUAUUCAAAGGGUAUCUUAAAUUGAGAAUAUAUUUUAGAUAUCAAUGAAAUUAAAAUACUGACUCUUUCAUUUGACACCAGUUUCUAGUGUUUCUUGUUACUAAGGUGAAACCAUUUAGACCACAGUUCCUAA